AAAAUUUUUCAAAAAAAAAAAUCUGUUCUUAUCAGUUUAAUAUCUGAUACGUCCCCCAUCCGGGGACUACAUAUUAAAUGGAUUUUUAGAUCACGGAGCUGGAGCCGGGGCUUGCUCCGUCCACUCCAUGCAUCGGCCUGGUAUUGCAGUGUCUCCAGGAACGGUGUGCUUUCC
rnacentral:snRNA from 1 species